CCCUCUUCCCUUUUCUCGCAUCACCAUCAUCUUUAUCUCAUCGCAGCUCCCCCAUCGAGACCCCAACAGGACCAGACGCCACCAUAUCUCUCUUUGUUCUUGCCAUGCCUCGCUGGAGUUGAUCGUCGGCGGGCGGGCCUCAAACUGUUGAUGACCAUAUCCGGCCACCAUUCUUUUACCUUUCUUUUUUUCCUCUAUUUGUGUUGUUGUUUCUCCUCCGUGAAGAGCUCCGGCGAGGUUUUCCCUCGUAGAUUUGCCGCAAAUUCGGCACAAAAGACCCGCUGCUCAGGUGCUUCAUCGCCGUCGAAGUAGCGGUGUUGGUUGGUGUCUUUGUUUAUUUUUGAUGCUUGAUAAUAUUCUUAUUAUGCUUGUUCUUGUCUGAGUUGUUUAGAUCUGACCGGAGUUGGCCAUGGGUUUUCUUAAUAAUUGCUUUUGCAGAUGGUUGUUUACUUUUGCUAUUAUUGCUACUUUGUCUCUGGGUCUGCUGCUGUUUUGCAUCAGACAUUGAUUUUGAAUAAUAUUUAUUAUUUACAUUUAUUUGACUGAUAAAGAACAUGGAUACUACACUAUUUAUAUUUUUAUUUGACUGAUAAGAAAUAAAUACUACACGAAUAUUCGCCAAUGAAAAAAUUAUUAUUAAUUUUGAGGCCUCCGUAAACAAAAGACAGAUUUUACGUAUACAAAUACGUAAUAAAAAUAGUUUUUGGGAGAUGAUGAAACUUUAUAACAACACAAGAUUUUACAACUCAUAUUCUGGCAAGACGAUUUAGGAUGGCCAAUUAAUUGAGCAACCAUUUCGUAGCAAAACGAUUUAGGAUGGCCCAUUAACUGAGCAACCAUUUCGCAGUCAUUACUUUAUCUGAGCCCACUUUUAUCAAAAAAAUAUAUAUUUUUUUAUAAUACGUAAAAAUACACAUUCUCAUUUACUAUUAUUUAUUUGUUACUAAUAUUUUUUUACAGGUGUUUAUACAGAUUAUUUUGGAAUACUCGUAGGGAGUUGCAGCCAAAGAGGCUCUUUUAAUUUUGUAUUGUAUUUUAUAUUCUUAUAUUUGUACAAAUGUUAUUAUAGAGAAAACUUUAUUUUGGGGGUGUUGGGAGGGAUUUUCUUUAUUUAUACGACUUCACCUCGCGUUUAUGCAAACUUAGGCCGUUAAUGUUUACAUUAAUAAAUUAAAUUAAUCAAUUAGUUUACAUACUUUGACAUCAUAAACAUUGUGAUCUUUUCUGUUCAAAUAAAUCUUUACUUUUUUCUCGUAAAUUUUAAAUCAAGUAAAAAAUAUUAUUUUUAAAUAUUU
rnacentral:lncRNA from 1 species